CCUACGGGUGGCAGCAGUAAGGAAUAUUGGUCAAUGGACGGAAGUCUGAACCAGCCAUGCCGCGUGAAGGAUGAAGGCCUCUGGGUUGUAAACUUCUUUUAUCUGGGACACGGUACCAGAGGAAUAAGCACCGGCUAACUCCGUGCCAGCAGCCGCGGUAAUACGGAGGGUGCAAGCGUUAUCCGGAUUUACUGGGUUUAAAGGGUGCGUAGGUGGGCAGGAAAGUCAGUGGUGAAAUCUCCGGGCUUAACCCGGAAACUGCCAUUGAUACUAUUUGUCUUGAAUACUUUGGAGGUAAGCGGAAUAUGUCAUGUAGCGGUGAAAUGCUUAGAUAUGACAUAGAACACCAAUUGCGAAGGCAGCUUACUACCAUGAUUGACACUGAGGCACGAAAGCGUGGGGAUCAAACAGGAUUAGAUACCCGUGUAGUC
rnacentral:rRNA from 1 species